UAAAAGUCAGGAAGGAUGUUGGCGUUGAGGUUGGCAUACGUAUCAAGGACAGUAACUACCAUGGCUCCCGAAGUGUUGCCAAAACCUCAGAUGCAUGGCCUUCUGGCCAAGCGUCUGCGAUUUCAUAUGUUUGGAGCAUUCAUGGUAUACCUGGGGGUUGCAGCUUUGUAUAAGUUUGGUGUGGGUGAACCAAGAAAGAAGGCAUAUGCAGAUUUCUACAGAAAUUAUGAGAUUUUGAGCAGAUGAAGAAGGCUGGUAUCUUUCAGAGUUUAAAGUAAUCUUGGAAUAUAAAGAAUUUCUUGAGGUUGAAUUACCUAGAAGUUUGUCACUGACUCGUGUUCCUGAACUAUGACACAUGAAUAUGUGGGCUAAUAGUUCCUCUUGAUAAACAAUUGACAAAUAAAUAAAUAAAACCAUUUUAAAGUGAACAAUUCAGUGGCAUUUAGUACGCUCACACUGUGUUGUACAACCAGCAAUUCUAUGUAGUUUUAAAACAUUUAAGUUUUUUUUUUUUUGG